rnacentral:lncRNA from 1 species
GCCAAGAUCACACCACUAUACUCCAGCCUGGCGACAGAGUAGGAUUCCACCUAAAAAAAAAAAAGAAGAAGAAGAAGAAGAAAGCAAAGACAUUAAUUGUUAGGCAAUGAAGGCUGAGAUAACAAAGGCAAUUUUUUUUUGAGAACCUACACAUUUGGAAAAACAGACAUUUCAGAUUCCCAGCCUAGUAUAUGUCUGGCAAAUAUGCCCUCCUGGGUAGUGAAGACCAGAAAAUAAAUUUGGGGAUUACAAAGCCAAGUUUCUCAAGACACAAAAACAAGAUGAAAGGAGAAGCUUAUUAUGGUUUUUCUCCUUAUACCAAACCACACAAAGGACAGAGACAAGAAAAACAAGGACCAUUUUUGGAUGUUUAAAGAUUAAUUAUCAAUAGGUAUAAAACAAGUCCACAAGGGACACAAAUUUAAAGAACUAACUUUUAAAAAUAUUUUCUCUCCUUUAAAUUUAGAAAGAAGGAAACACGAAAAUGGAGUUUCACCACUCACCUGACUAGUCCUAAGGCAGAAACCCAAGGAGGAUUACUGAUAAGGAAAAACAUUUAUUGUGAUGAAGAGAAUCAUAAGAACACAUACAUAUGGGACACGCGAACAUCUAUCUACUAAGGCAGCUAAAAUGAAAGAGGAAGAUGGAGAGAAUGAAUUAGCCAAAAACCACUUUGAGUUUGACACAAUGAGUUUCUUCUUCAAUUACAGUAGAAUAAGUACAGUUUUGUGUUUAACAAUGGAAUACAUUCUGAGAACUGCAUCAUUAGACGAUUUUGUCAUUCUGCAAACAUCACGGAGUGUACUUACACCAAUUCAAUGGUAUAGCCUACUACACACCUAGGCUAUGUGCUACAUCCUAUUGAUCCAAGCCAGAAA